UGAGGAAUAUUGGUCAAUGGAGGCAACUCUGAAUCAGCCAAGUCGCGUGAAGGAUGAAGGUCUUAUGGAUUGUAAACUUCUUUUGUAAGGGAAUAAAGUGUAGUACGUGUACUAUUUUGCAUGUACCUUACGAAUAAGGAUCGGCUAACUCCGUGCCAGCAGCCGCGGUAAUACGGAGGAUCCGAGCGUUAUCCGGAUUUAUUGGGUUUAAAGGGUGCGCAGGCGGUAUGUUAAGUCGGCGGUGAAAUUUUGCGGCUCAACCGUAAAAGUGCCUUCGAAACUGGCAUACUUGAGUAUAGAUGAAGUAGGCGGAAUUUGUGGUGUAGCGGUGAAAUGCAUAGAUAUCACGAGGAACUCCGAUUGCGAAGGCAGCUUACUAAACUAUAACUGACGCUCAUGCACGAAGGCGUGGGGAUCAAACA
rnacentral:rRNA from 1 species